rnacentral:rRNA from 1 species
AGAGCACACGGUGGAUGCCUUGGCAAUAGGAGCCGAAGAAGGACGUCGUAAUCUGCGAUAAGCCUCGGGGAGUUGAUAAACGAACUUUGAUCCGAGGAUUUCCGAAUGGGGAAACCCAGCUGGACUCGAUCCAGUUACUUCCCGCUGAAUAUAUAGGCGGGAUAGAGGGAACGUGGGGAAGUGAAACAUCUCAGUACCCACAGGAAGAGAAAACAAAAGUGAUUCCGUUAGUAGUGGCGAGCGAACGCGGAAGAGGCCAAACCGGUCAUGUGUGAUAUCCGGCAGGAGUUGCAUGAUCGGGGUUGUGGGACUCACCAGCUAGUCUGCCGACCUAGCAAGAGUACAAAGCAAUGUAGUCGAAUGGUCUUGAAAGGCCAGUCAUAGAGGGUGACAACCCCGUAGACGAAAUGUUGUGGCAGCUCGGAGAGUAUCCCAAGUAUUACGGGACCCGUGAAAUCCUGUAUGAAUCUGCGAGGACCACCUCGUAAGCCUAAAUACUACCUAUUGACCGAUAGCGGACAAGUACCGUGAGGGAAAGGUGAAAAGUACCCCGGGAGGGGAGUGAAAUAGUACCUGAAACCGUGUGCUUACAAUCCGUCGGAGCCAGCUUGUACUGGUGACGGCGUGCCUUUUGAAGAAUGAGCCUGAGAGUUAGUGAUAUGUGGCGAGGUUAACCCGAGUGGGGAAGCCGUAGCGAAAGCGAGUCUGAACAGGGCGUUCAGUCGCAUGUCCUAGACCCGAAGCGAAGUGAUCUAUCCAUGGCCAGGUUGAAGCGGCGGUAAGACGCCGUGGAGGACCGAACCCACUUCAGUUGAAAAUGGAGGGGAUGAGCUGUGGAUAGGGGUGAAAGGCCAAUCAAACUUCGUGAUAGCUGGUUCUCUCCGAAAUGCAUUUAGGUGCAGCGUCUUGUGUUUCUUACUGGAGGUAGAGCUACUGGAUGGCCGAUGGGCCCUACAAGGUUACUGACGUCAGCCAAACUCCGAAUGCCAGUAAGUCAGAGCAAGGCAGUGAGUCCGUGGGGGAUAAGCUUCAUGGACAAAAGGGAAACAACCCAGACUACCAACUAAGGUCCCAAAGCGUGUGCUAAGUGGAAAAGGAUGUGGAGUUGCAUAGACAACCAGGAGGUUGGCUUAGAAGCAGCCACCCUUGAAAGAGUGCGUAAUAGCUCACUGGUCAAGUGAUUCCGCGCCGACAAUGUAACGGGGCUCAAGCACACCACCGAAGUUGUAGCAUUUGCGAUAAGACUGGCAGCAAUGUCCAAGUCUGCAGAUGGGUAGGAGAGCGUCGUGUGGCGAGUGAAGCGGCGGGGUAACCCAGCCGUGGAUGCCACACGAGUGAGAAUUCAGGCAUGAGUAGCGAAAGCCGGGUGAGAAACCCGGCCUCCGAAAGAACAAGGGUUCCAGGGCCAGGUUAAUCCGCCCUGGGUAAGUCGGGACCUAAGGCGAGGCCGACAGGCGUAGUCGAUGGACAACGGGUUGACAUUCCCGUACCGGCAAAAAACCGAUCAAACUAAUCCAGUAAUGCUAAGUGCAUGAAGCUAUGGUUGAUCCCUUCGGGGUGAUGCUGUGGUGGAUUACACGACCCUAUUCUGGUGCGGUUAGCGUAUUUACAGGUGUGACGCAGGAGGGUAGCUUCCGCGGGGCGAUGGUUGUCCCCGUUUAAGGAUGUAGGGCGAGAGAUAGGCAAAUCCGUCUCUCAUACGCCUGAGAUCUGAUGAUGAGCCGCAAGGCGAAGUGAGUGAUCCCAUGCUGUCAAGAAAAGCAUCGACGCGAGGUUUUAGCUGCCCGUACCCCAAACCGACUCAGGUGUUCAGGUAGAGAAUACUAAGGAGAUCGAGAGAAUCGCGGUUAAGGAACUCGGCAAAAUGCCCCCGUAACUUCGGGAGAAGGGGGGCCUGAGGUGUGUAGAGAUUUACUCUUGAAGCACCGUAUGGCCGCAGAGACCAGUGAGAAGCGACUGUUUACUAAAAACACAGGUCCGUGCGAAGUUGCAAAACGAUGUAUACGGACUGACGCCUGCCCGGUGCUGGAAGGUUAAGAGGACUGGUUAGCAGCAAUGCGAAGCUAGGAAUUUAAGCCCCAGUAAACGGCGGUGGUAACUAUAACCAUCCUAAGGUAGCGAAAUUCCUUGUCGGGUAAGUUCCGACCUGCACGAAUGGUCUAAUGAGUUGAACACUGUCUCCUCCGCGAGCCCGGUGAAAUUGUAGUAUCGGUGAAGAUGCCGGUUACCCGCCACGGGACGAAAAGACCCCGUGAACCUUCACUACAACUUUGCAUUGCUUUUGAGCAAACGAUGUGUAGCAUAGUUGGGACGCUUUGAAGCCUUGCCGCCAGGUAGGGUGGAGCGGUCGUUGAAAUACCAACCUUCGUUUGCUUAGAAUCUAACCCAAUUUGGGGACAUUGCAUGGUGGGUAGUUUGACUGGGGUGGUCGCCUCCUAAAAAGUAACGGAGGCUUGCAAAGGUACCCUCAGUACGGUUGGUAAUCGUACGUAGAGCGUAUUAGUAUAAGGGUGCUUGACUGUGAGGCAUACACGCCGAGCAGGAGCGAAAGCUGGCUAAAGUGAUCCGGUGGUUCUGCAUGGAAGGGCCAUCGCUCAAAGGAUAAAAGGUACUCCGGGGAUAACAGGCUGAUCUUACCCAAGAGCUCAUAUCGACGGUAAGGUUUGGCACCUCGAUGUCGGUUCGUCACAUCCUGGGGCUGGAGAAGGUCCCAAGGGUUCGGCUGUUCGCCGAUUAAAGUGGC